rnacentral:rRNA from 1 species
GACGGUACUUGAUGAAUAAGCCACGGCUAAUUCCGUGCCAGCAGCCGCGGUAAUACGGGAGUGGCAAGCGUUAUCCGGAAUUAUUGGGCGUAAAGCGUCCGCAGGCGGCCUUGUAAGUCUGUCGUCAAAGCGUGGAGCUUAACUCCAUUUAAGCGAUGGAAACUGCAAGGCUAGAGUGUGGUAGGGGCAGAGGGAAUUCGCGGUGUAGCGGUGAAAUGCGUAGAUAUCGGGAAGAACACCAGUGGCGAAGGCGCUCUGCUGGGCCAUAACUGACGCUCAUGGACGAAAGCCAGGGGAGCGAAAGGGAUUAGAUACCCCUGUAGUCCUGGCCGUAAACGAUGAACACUAGGUGUCGGGGGAAUCGACCCCCUCGGUGUCGUAGCCAACGCGUUAAGUGUUCCGCCUGGGGAGUACGCACGCAAGUGUGAAACUCAAAGGAAUUGACGGGGGCCCGCACAAGCGGUGGAGUAUGUGGUUUAAUUCGAUGCAACGCGAAGAACCUUACCAGGGUUUGACAUCCUGCGAAUCCCUUGGAAACGAGGGAGUGCCUUCGGGAGCGCAGAGACAGGUGGUGCAUGGCUGUCGUCAGCUCGUGUCGUGAGAUGUUGGGUUAAGUCCCGCAACGAGCGCAACCCACGUCGUUAGUUGCCAGCAUUUAGUUGGGCACUCUAGCGAGACCGCCGGUGAUAAACCGGAGGAAGGUGUGGAUGACGUCAAGUCAUCAUGCCCCUUACAUCCUGGGCUACACACGUACUACAAUGCUACGGACAAAGGGCAGCAAACUCGCGAGAGCUAGCAAAUCCCAUAAACCGUGGCUCAGUUCAGAUCGUAGGCUGCAACUCGCCUACGUGAAGGAGGAAUCGCUAGUAAUCGCAGGUCAGCAUACUGCGGUGAAUACGUUCCCGGGCCUUGUACACACCGCCCGUCACACCAUGGAAGUUGGCCACGCCCGAAGCCGUUACUCCGACCCUUGUGGAGGAGGACGU